AGUGUAGGAAAGAGAGGGACAGUCACAGGAGAAGGACUUUCAGAGUUUUAUACGCAUUCCAUUCAUCUUUUCCAUCUUGAAAUUUUCAGCUACUGAUGAGACUGUUUCAACAAUGACAGAUACUGAAAGGAUGAGGACAUAAGUGAGUGAAGGAAGUCAUGCACAAGACUUUCAGCUGAGCUCUAGACAUCUGAUGUAAGUUCUCCAUGCAGAUUGAAGUAUGCCCAGUGAUAUUGUGGAUGCCUUCUCCCUGGAAGCAUUCAAGGCAAGGCUGGAUGGUCAAGAGGAAGGCGUCAUUGCCUAUAGUAGGGGAGUUGGAGCUAGAUGAUGUCCCUUCCAACCCAAAGCAUUCUAUGAUUCUCUGAUUCUAAGUAUUCAUAGGGAGUACUCUAAAGCAGAAGUAAUAUGUGUUGCUCAGAAGCUCUGUGUUAUAAGGAUAAAAAUGCCAUGUAAAUACAGGAAGUACUCACUGGUCAAUUUCUUAAAGAAAGUGGCAAUUUUAAUUUCAUAUUGUGUAUAACUCAAUUGAACUCAAUUCAUGCAUAGGGCAUACAAAAAAAAAAAAAAAUUAAAAUUAUGAGCCUUUUCU
ensembl:lncRNA